UUGAUCCUCUUGGGCUGCCCAACUGGGCCCAACCUCAGCGACCCAGAGAAGUUGAGGGACUUGAAGCUAGGCAAGCAGUAGGAGAAUGUGGAUUGGUAUAGGUUUUGGGUCUGGGACAGCAACGACAAGGGGCCUCGGCCCAGGCCCAGGAGGCCCUGCGCCGGUAGGGAUCCGCCGGUGGCCUUUUGUAUGCAACCGAAGCUGUAGCCGGGGACUGCAUCGGUGGCUAGGGUGAUGGUGUCCUGUGAGAGGUUGGCUGCUAAGGAGGAGCCACCAUAGGUGAGGUUGAAUGAGCACACCCCCCCACCGCAUGUGGGUUUUGGCACCUGAAAUUACGCGAAGAUCAUAGAAGUUAAAAAGUCUUUUUUUAUAUAAAGGCCCUGGUGACAUGUCAAGAAAAAAACAAAGGAAACAACACUCGGAGAUGUGAGUAAUGGUGAGAGUAAAUGCAGUACCUGCUUACACUGAGCAGCUUGGCAGCCAAGGGACUUGUAGGUAGUAGAGGCAGGAGAGUUAAAGAGAGUGGAGGAGCAGCCCAGACAGCCAUUGCAAGGAAUCCAAGCAACAUCACUGCUGGUGUCCAUGGCCAUGAGCAUGGUUUGAGCAGGAGUUCCAAUCUUAGCCCUCACAAUAUAAGUUGGGUUCUGGACGAUCUGCCUGCCUGAAGCAAUAGGCACUACAGAUUUGCGGGCGACAAGGCUAGAUAAAAACUGGAGCCUGGCCUUGUCCUUGGCCUGCAUUUGGAGCACACUCUCCUCCCAGGACAGUGGCUCUUUUGGCCUGA
rnacentral:lncRNA from 1 species